rnacentral:rRNA from 1 species
GAUGGACGCUGGCGGCGUGCUUAACACAUGCAAGUCGAACGAAGCAUUUAGAACGGAUUACUUCGGUUUGAAGUUCUUUAUGACUGAGUGGCGGACGGGUGAGUAACGCGUGGGUAACCUGCCUUGUACUGGGGGAUAGCAGCUGGAAACGGCUGGUAAUACCGCAUAAGCGCACAAUGUUGCAUGACAUGGUGUGAAAAACUCCGGUGGUAUAAGAUGGACCCGCGUCUGAUUAGCUAGUUGGUGAGAUAACAGCCCACCAAGGCGACGAUCAGUAGCCGACCUGAGAGGGUGACCGGCCACAUUGGGACUGAGACACGGCCCAGACUCCUACGGGAGGCAGCAGUGGGGAAUAUUGCACAAUGGAGGAAACUCUGAUGCAGCGACGCCGCGUGAGUGAAGAAGUAAUUCGUUAUGUAAAGCUCUAUCAGCAGGGAAGAUAGUGACGGUACCUGACUAAGAAGCUCCGGCUAAAUACGUGCCAGCAGCCGCAGUAA